rnacentral:rRNA from 1 species
GCACAACAACGGGUGGAGCGUGCGGUUUAAUUGGAUUCAACGCCGGAAAUCCCACCGGAGGCGACGGUUAUAUGAAGGCCAGGCUGAUGACCUUGCCUGAUUUUCCGAGAAGUGGUGCAUGGCCGUCGUCAGUUCGUACCGUGAGGCGUUCUGUUAAGUCAGACAACGAACGAGACCCUCAUCUUUAGUUGCUACUGGUAAGUCCGCUUAUCAGGCACACUAGAGAAACCGCUGGCGAUAAGUCAGAGGAAGGUGAGGGCAACGGUAGGUCAGUAUGCCCUGAAUCCUCCGGGCUACACGCGCGCUACAAAGGCUAGGACAAUGGGUUUCAACACCGAAAGGUGACGGUAAUCCCGAAACCUAGUCAUAGUUCGGAUUGAGGAUUGAAACUCAUCCUCAUGAAGCUGGAAUCUGUAGUAAUCGCGGGUCAACAUCCCGCGGUGAAUAUGCCCCUGCUCCUUGCACACACCGCCCGUCAAACCAUGCGAGUUGGGUCUGAGUGAGGAUAUAGUCUUUGCUAUGUUCAAACUUAGGCUUAGUAAGCGGGGUUAAGUCGUAACAAGGUAACC